CACGUAGGGGGGCGAGCGUUGUCCGGAUUUAUUGGGCGUAAAGAGCUCGUAGGCGGUUCGGCAAGUCGGGUGUGAAAUUUCGAGGCUCAACCUCGAAACGCCACUCGAUACUGCUGUGACUGGAGUCCGGUAGAGGAGUGCGGAAUUCCUGGUGUAGCGGUGAAAUGCGCAGAUAUCAGGAGGAACACCAACGGCGAAGGCAGCACUCUGGGCCGGUACUGACGCUGAGGAGCGAAAGCGUGGGGAGCGAACAGG
rnacentral:rRNA from 1 species